rnacentral:rRNA from 1 species
GACGAACGCUGGCGGCGUGCUUAACACAUGCAAGUCGAACGGAAAGGCCCUGCUUUUGUGGGGUGCUCGAGUGGCGAACGGGUGAGUAACACGUGAGUAACCUGCCCUUGACUUUGGGAUAACUUCAGGAAACUGGGGCUAAUACCGGAUAGGAGCUCCUGCUGCAUGGUGGGGGUUGGAAAGUUUCGGCGGUUGGGGAUGGACUCGCGGCUUAUCAGCUUGUUGGUGGGGUAGUGGCUUACCAAGGCUUUGACGGGUAGCCGGCCUGAGAGGGUGACCGGCCACAUUGGGACUGAGAUACGGCCCGGACUCCUACGGGGGGCAGCAGUGGGGAAUAUUGCACAAUGGGCGGAGGCCUGAUGCAGCACCGCCGCGUGCGGGAUGACGGCCUUCGGGUGGAAAACCGCUUUCGCCUGUGACGAAGCGUGAGUGACGGAAAUGGGUAAAGAAGCACCGGCUAACUACGU